GCAGCCAGCUGUACUAGUUGCAUAGUUUAGACACCAGUUUGAUAAUAAAUAAACAAAAGUAUCAACAAUGUUCUUAGAUGCUCGCAUCAGCCACCCAGAACUGAAAGGCUUUAUUUUAAAACAUUCGUAUAAGUUUGGAUUGUGGAUUGUUAUUGGAUCUCAUAAUAUUUGUUUUUGUCACUUCAGCCUCGGUCGCCCUCACCCUCAUGAAUUCGCCGAUGCGGACGCAGACGGACCCCGUAGAUAAGAUAUAAUAUACGAGCGCCGUUCAGAAAUAGCACCCGUGCACCCUACACCCCACCCAUGGCAUACCCCGACCGGAAACGGGAAAUGGAAACGCAAUGCAAUAUUAUCUUUUGUCGCCUGAUUCUGCCGCUAUUCUUAAUCCCUGUCCCUUCAGCGAAUCGGAUUCGUUGUGUCUGGCGCUGCAGACUCUGCCUCAUGGCCUUGAAGAGCAGUGCAGUUUUCUCGAUUUCUCGAUUUCUCGAUUAUGUUGAAUUGUUCUCCAAGGGCUGCCUGCCAGUGGCUGCCUGCACCUGCUGUCUCCCCUAGUAACACCGGUCUCUUGCUCUCUCCAUCCCCACUCUCACUGUGUUUCUUCAUUGCGAGUGCACACAUGGUGCUCAGAUGCUGGCGUAAGUACAUAAGUUCGAGUGGCUGUCCCUAAUUGGCACUGCUGCACAUUCCAUGUUUAUUAAUAAUUUUCCAGAACUUCUCUUUGCUCUGACCGCCAGGCUUGGAGGUCGCAGCCUUUGUCACUUAACCCUGUGUCGCCUCUAAAGAGUGGCACGGUCAGUGCAUUGGUAGUUUUAAUUAAUGUAAUGCUCCCCGUCACCGUGUUUCCUAAUUGAACUCAUUUGCCGCUGUUCCACAUAAUAAACGCCACUAUUUUGGACAAGCCAAGCCAAGUAUGGG
rnacentral:lncRNA from 1 species